rnacentral:SRP_RNA from 1 species
UGUUGGUUCUCCCGCAACACUAACUGUUAACUUGGUCAGGUCGGAAGGAAGCAGCCAUAGCAGGGUCGUGUGUGCCAGGAUGUCGCUGGCAGGG